GAUGAAGAACGUAGCGAAAUGCGAUACUUGGUGUGAAUUGCAGAAUCCCGUGAACCAUCGAGUCUUUGAACGCAAGUUGCGCCCGAAGCCAUUAGGCCGAGGGCACGCCUGCCUGGGCGUCACACGUCGUUGCCCCCCCAUCUACUCCUUCGGGAUUGCGGGGGGCGGAUGAUGGCCUCCCGUGCGCCUUGUCGCGCGGUUGGCAUAAAUGCCAAGUCCUCGGCGACGCACGCCACGACAAUCGGUGGUUGCGAAACCUCGGUUGCCCGUCGUGUGCGGUCGUCGCGCAUCGAGGGCUCGAAAAAAUGCUCGGCUCCGGCUGGGCUUUCAACGCGACCCCAGGUCAGGCGGGGUUACCCGCUGAAUUUAAGCAUAUCAAUAAGCGGAGGA
rnacentral:misc_RNA from 1 species